GCAUUUUUCGAAUAUAUUUUUGGAGGCGUCGCUCCCCGCUCUGAGCUCCCAGGGGUUAAAACCCAGGCCCCGGCUGAAUUAAAAAUUUAAAACCCUGGUUGGAGAGGGGUUCUGGCAAAGCUCUGCCAUGGUUUUAUUGAGGAAAUCGCGGGGGUUGAGGCUGAUUCAGGGAUCCUGCUCCUCUAAUUGCCUUGAGAACGCUGAUAAACAGGAUACGGCGCUAAUUAGCGAGCCAGGAGCUUCGCCCCAAAUAAAUGAGUUCCCUGGCCAAAUCCCUGAAGGAGCUGCUUGCUGAGAAUCCGGGAUUUUCUCCCUUUAAAAUCCCAAAUUUCUCUCGGCGAAGAGAAACCCGGAGCUGGGAUCUCUCUGCUCGGGAAUUCUAUUUAUGGCCUGACCAUGACAUUAAUAUUAAAUUACACAACGAGUGAUUUCACUGGGAUUUUUUUUUUUUUUAAUUUUUAACCUUUCUGGCCCAGAUUCGCCUUCUCGGCGGACGCUGGAAAUGACGAAUUAAUUCAGGUGGUUUGCGGCGGAGCCGAUUUUUAUCCGUGCCGGAGGAACCCAGCGGAAAAUGGAGGCUGCAAGCAGCAAUUACGUGCUCGGCGUUGGCAAGGAGGAGGAUUCGCUUCGGAGGGGAAAAACCAACACCCAGAAUUUUGUGACUUUCAAGAUGCAUCCAGCUGGGAGCUUUUUACUUCCUGGCUGAACCCCAGGUGGUUUCCAUGUGGGCUGAGGACAUCCCUGUGGAUGGGGGCUCCUGCAGAAAUCCUUUUGAGGUUUUCAUUCUAAAUCCCUUUGGAAAAAUCCUUUGCAAUGCUGACCUCUGCAGGCUGAGGGACUGCUGAAAACCCCGGGCAGCAAUAACCUAAAUAAUGCAUGAACCAGGUGUUUUACUGCUGCUGGCUGUGGGUAGGAAAAGCCUAUCAUAAAAAAAAUCAAACUUAUAAAUAAUGCAUUAAAA